rnacentral:rRNA from 1 species
UACGAAGGGGGCUAGCGUUGUUCGGAAUUACUGGGCGUAAAGCGCACGUAGGCGGCUUUGUAAGUUAGAGGUGAAAGCCCGGGGCUCAACUCCGGAAUUGCCUUUAAGACUGCAUCGCUAGAAUUGUGGAGAGGUAAGUGGAAUUCCGAGUGUAGAGGUGAAAUUCGUAGAUAUUCGGAAGAACACCAGUGGCGAAGGCGGUUCUCUGGGCCUUACC